GACGAACGCUGGCGGCGUGCUUAACACAUGCAAGUCGAACGGAAAGGCCCUGCUUUUGUGGGGUGCUCGAGUGGCGAACGGGUGAGUAACACGUGAGUAACCUGCCCUUGACUUUGGGAUAACUUCAGGAAACUGGGGCUAAUACCGGAUAGGAGCUCCUGCUGCAUGGUGGGGGUUGGAAAGUUUCGGCGGUUGGGGAUGGACUCGCGGCUUAUCAGCUUGUUGGUGGGGUAGUGGCUUACCAAGGCUUUGACGGGUAGCCGGCCUGAGAGGGUGACCGGCCACAUUGGGACUGAGAUACGGCCCAGACUCCUACGGGAGGCAGCAGUGGGGAAUAUUGCACAAUGGGCGGAAGCCUGAUGCAGCAACGCCGCGUGCGGGAUGACGGCCUUCGGGUUGUAAAACGCUUUCGCCUGUGACGAAGCGUGAGUGACGGCAAUGGGUAAAGAAGCACCGGCUAACUACGUG
rnacentral:rRNA from 1 species